rnacentral:snRNA from 1 species
AUCUUUGCGCAGUGGCGGUACCAUAGCCAAUGAGGUUUUACCGAGGCGUGGUUAUUGCUGGUUGAAAACUACUCCCAAUACCCCGCACGGUCGACUCACCCGUCGGCUUGUGCAAUUUUUUUCUGCUCUUACGAGAG